CGGAUCCCGACCUCGCCACACCCUUGCCCCGUCCGUAAACUAGCUCAGUUAAGAGGCAGGCAACACUCCGGCUUCCUCCCAGGGGCUCUCAGGUCCUGCUCGUUCUCCGCCAGCUCCCUCCCCGCCGCAGACACCAGUGAGAGCGUGGCUCCGGGCUCCAUGCUCGAUUCCAGGCAGACGUCAGGGAGACAGCUGGAAGAGCUAAGAUUGCGGCUGGCGCGGCCUUGCCACCCACCUUCAUCGUAGUUAUAGCCCCGGACGUUCCGAUGCCGGGCCAUCACGCACAGAGGGCGUCUGCCGCCGAUCCUUCCAGAAGAACUCGGCUCAGACGCCUACAGGACGCAAACCGCGGGAGGGACGCCUCGGCCGCGCCAUCUUGCCUUCCGCCAGGCCUCUGCGCCGAGCGUCUGCGCAAGCGCGACGUCAUACCUGCGCACUACGCGACGGCAAGCUCUCGGGGUCACUGCGGGCCUCCCGGGAACGCAUGCGCGCUCGCGAACUGGCGGGUGGCGCGAGGUCCCGCCCACAAGCGAGUCGACUGACGUGGACUUCAAGAGGAGCCAAAGGGUUGUUCAGCGCGGAUCUUUCAUCUACACCGGUUUUCAGGAUUAUUUCCCAACUUUGGUUUUUGAUCAUCUGAAAAGCUGCCUAUUUCGCUCAGUAAAACUAAGGACUUUGUUUCAGCUUUUAAGCUAUAGGCAGCCAACAAACGUGUAAAUUUGGCAUAAUAAUUAGUCCAAGCUGUAAAGGGAGACUUUUUGAACGGAAAGAAUUCCAUUGUGUAGAAAUGUAGAAGGAAAUGCCGGCAGGCAAGACCUGUUGGCCAGCCUACUUGGCAUACUGCACUUGUAAAUAAGGAGCACUGCACACCACACGCCUGGAGUCAGAACACUGGAUUCUCAAGAAGUAUGACUAGCUGGCAUCUGGGCUGCGAAGAGUCAGUCUGCACGCUCCGUGUCUCCUCUGUGAGUAUCUUCUGCAUAGAGCCCCUGGUGGUACGAAUGCUCAGUAUCUAGUCCAAGGAAAUGUGCCGACCUAUCACAGGCCACAGGCUUCCACUAUUUAAGUGGUUGCUUGGGUGCAACAAAGCAGACACUCUUCCCUGAAACUGUCUCCAGAGUGGUUUAUCUCCAUGCCCAUUAGCAACCCACAAGCAUUGCUGUCUUGUUGAGGGAUGCCCCAGUAAUGAAAGCAUAUAGACACCACAAUUUGUAUGCCUUCCAUUAGUCUAUUGAAACCCACUUUAGUUUUCCAGUGCCGGCUACUACAAUAAGACUACUAUGAGUAUUCAUUACAAAUACUUGCAUGAAAAUAACAUUUGUAUUCCCUGAAUAAAUACUUGGCCAAAGAAUGGUUAAAUGAGGUGAUUAUCAUUUACCUUUUGGAAGAAGAAUGGUACUGGGAAGGAUAGAGUCCAAUGGUAGACGUGUUGUGCCUCACAUACACAAAAGCACAGUUACCGUGCCCAGCACCAUAAAAGGAAAAGAACGGAAAGUGCCCAACCGUUUCCAAAGCAGAUGGACAAUGUUACACAGCCUUGAGUGCUAAAGCUACAGCAGCCCGUCUGCAACUUCUCACCGUUUGAAGAUACUUGAUUUUCUGAUGAGCUCCUCAAUGAAGUGUGUGUUUGACUCUUUCAUUGCUUCAUAAUGAGGUGUUUGUUUUCUUAUCUCUGAGUCUGGAGAAUAUUUUUGAUACUCAUAAUAAAAUUUCUUUGUAUAAU